rnacentral:rRNA from 1 species
UACGAAGGGGGCUAGCGUUGUUCGGAUUUACUGGGCGUAAAGCGCACGUAGGCGGAUCGUUAAGUCGGGGGUGAAAUCCUGGAGCUCAACUCCAGAACUGCCUUCGAUACUGGCGAUCUUGAGUCCGGAAGAGGUGAGUGGAACUCCUAGUGUAGAGGUGGAAUUCGUAGAUAUUAGGAAGAACACCAGUGGCGAAGGCGGCUCACUGGUCCGGUACUGACGCUGAGGUGCGGAAAGCGUGGGGAGCAA